rnacentral:lncRNA from 1 species
GUUCGUGCCAAUUGCACAUCUUCGAAAGGUCUGUGCAAGUCAUGUCGCACACUUCAUCGAGAUGUUCUCUUCUGUUUACUCUGUUCUUGGAUUUUUUUUCUAUUACGACAUUUGUGUUGAAAGGUUAAUGAAAUUGGACCAAAUAUAUAAAAUCCAUGUGGUAGGCUUUCUUACACCUGGAAAGUUUUAUAUAUUUGACUUGUCCUUAUCACAACUAUGCACAUGAUCUACCAUGCUGGUUAUUGUUAUGUAUAUCUGUGAAUUGCAAGAGGAUAUGCAUGUAUUAUAGCGAAGCAAUGCGAGCAUGAAUAACAAAAGAGUCAAAUGGUCUGCUACACUAUAAUUUAAUUAUGAGCAUGUUGCAAGCUGAAAAGGCCUGUUUCCAUUUUAAUAUAAUGAAUAAGGUAAGCUUUAUAAUUCCGACCUAGUAAAGGUUCAAGGCAAAUCAGCUAAUGGAAGGGCUUUGUCAUUUUUUGUAGCAUCUAGACUUCGCACGAGAUUGCAUGUUGACAUGUUUAUAGCUGCGUUCCAAGUCUCUUGGUUGGAGCCAACUAAUUUUUAUGUGAUUUCAGUUUUAAAUUUGUUUUGCAAGUCACGUUUAGAAUUAAAGGGCACUUACACAGACUAUUUUCCAGUUCGUUCAUGCAUUAUUGGAUAGGACAAGAUAUAGUUCACUAAUUUGAGAUCAUGUUGGUGCGGAGGUCUUAUUUUCUGGCUAUGCUUUGUGCUUUAUAACUAUCGUCAUCAUCUUCUUUACUGAUUGUGCAAGUUCUUGAAUGCAGAAAUGAGCAACUUCUUGAACUUCAUCCAUCUUGUAUCAAGAUAGCGCCUAGGUAUAUGUUCUGUUGGCAGUUCUGUUUCAUUGGAUUGAAAUUUCCGUUUCAUUUACAACUUCUCACAUCAUCUCAUUAUCAUCUUUUUGGUUCUUGUUCUUGCAAUUGUGAUUGUCACUGUUUUAGCUGUGGCAUGGAAUCUGAAAGGUAAGCACACAACGAUUGUGAAUGAACAAGAUGACAGAUUGAUUACAUUGCCAAAGACAAAUUGAGUGCACUUCCCUUGUCUGCAUGAGAUUUGAGGCAUAUCUCCUCAGGCAAAAAUUUACUUACCACAGAAUCGACAAAAGAAAGAAUUAUGAUGCAAAAUUUCCCCACGAAGUCCCUUAAAGUAUUACUAGUUCUUCUUUUCAGGAGAUAUAAGGAACAAAAUCCCAUAAAUCUCCUGAUUGCUAAUUAUUUAUAUUUUCUUAAAAUGCGGAUGAAGAACCUUGAGAUUUGGUAACUUAAUCCAUUUCGUAUGCUAUAAUUAAUUUUUCAAAGCCAAGGGUUGUGCACUCGAAUAUUUUACUUGGAACUUGGAAGACACCCAUAACUAUCAUAUUUUUUUCCAUCCCAUACCACAAAGCUACGGCUAAUUGCUUCCAUAUCCAAGAACUGACUCAUAAACCGUCAUUCUUGUAGGUCGUAAGGUGAAAUUUAUUUAUUUGGAGGCUGCAAUUGUACUGGGAGGGUUUUCUCAAUAUUUGGCAAGGGUGGACGCAGAAAUUUUUAGUUAGGGGACCCAAUCAAAUUUUGUACAAAUCGAAGACUUUGUUAUUGAUUUUUGACUGAUUUAUACUCGAUCCGAGAAAAUGCAUAUUAAUAUUUAUAAAACAUUUUUUCAUUAAUAU